rnacentral:rRNA from 1 species
CACGUAGGGCGCGAGCGUUGUCCGGAAUUAUUGGGCGUAAAGAGCUCGUAGGCGGCCUGUUGCGUCCGCUGUGAAAUCCCGAGGCUCAACCUCGGGUCUGCAGUCGGUACGGGCAAACUAGAGUAUUGCAGGGGAGACUGGAAUUCCUGGUGUAGCGGUGAAAUGCGCAGAUAUCAGGAGGAACACCGGUGGCGAAGGCGGGUCUCUGGGCAAUAACUGACGCUGAGGAGCGAAAGCGUGGGGAGCGAACAGG